GACGAACGCUGGUGGCGUGCUUAACACAUGCAAGUCGAACGGGAUUUAGUAAACAGCAUCCUCUGUGGAAUAUUGCUUAUGAGAGUGGCGAACGGUUGAGUAACGCCUGAUCAUCCUUCCUAUGUCAGUGGGAUAGCCUCGGGAAACCGGGAUUAAUACCGCAUAAAAUCGUACAAACACACUUUUUAACGGUCAAGGAUGUAUCGGUCAUGGAUGGGAUCGCGUCUGCUUAGAUAGUUGGCGAGAGAACAGCCCACCAAGUCGACGAUCAGUAGCCGGUCAGAGAGGAAGAACCGCCACAUUGGCACUGAAACGCAGUCCGAACUCCUACGGGAGGGAGCAGUGGGGAAUAUUGCAAAAUGGCGGGAAUCCUGAAGGAGCGACGCCGCGUGAACGAAGAAGGUAUUAGUAAAGUAAAGUUCUGUAAUAUGGGAAGAUAAUGACAGUACCAUAGAAGAAAGCACCGGCUAACUACGUG
rnacentral:rRNA from 1 species